rnacentral:rRNA from 1 species
UACAGAGGUCCCAAGCGUUGUUCGGAUUCACUGGGCGUAAAGGGCGCGUAGGCGGUCGGGUAAGUCUGAUGUGAAAUCUCACAGCUUAACUGUGAAACUGCAUUGGAUACUAUCCGGCUCGAGGAAUGGAGGGGAGACUGGAAUACUUGGUGUAGCAGUGAAAUGCGUAGAUAUCAAGUGGAACACCAGUGGCGAAGGCGGGUCUCUGGACAUUUCCUGACGCUGAGACACGAAAGCCAGGGGAGCAAACGGG